rnacentral:ncRNA from 18 species
CUCUUAUCCAGAGUUGGUGGAGGGACAGGCCCGAAGAAACCCCAGCAACCAACACCUGUUAAACAAAGGUGAAAAGGUGCUAACCUGCAAGGCGUUGCCUUGAAAGAUAAGAG